GUGCUUGCUUCGGCAGCACAUAUACUAAAACUGGAACGAUACCGAGAAGGUGAGCAUGGCCCUACGCAGGGAUGACAUGCAAAUUCCAUAUUUUUUAAAUACUGUA